CACCGUGUCAGUCGGUAGUUCGCUUGAGCGUAUAAUAUGGAGGACACAGAGUUCGAAAAAUAAAAAAUUAAAAAACGAUAAUAAUAAUAACAAAAAAAAACCGUCCAAUAUUUAUAUAAUCUCCCAACUCCGCGAUUUAUCGCGCCGAACAAUCGAUUUCCGAAUACGAGCGUAUUGGACGGCCUUACGAGUUGUGACGUGGGCGAAUGGCGGGCGAGUCAAUGAACGAUGUAAUCGACACGAGAUCGGCGGGCUGAAAUCGGAC